rnacentral:rRNA from 1 species
UACGUAGGGGGGCGAGCGUUGUCCCGGAUUUUAUUGGGCGUAAAGAGCUCGUAGGCGGUUUGGUAAGUCGGGUGUGAAAGUCCAGGGCUCAACCCUGGGAUGCCGGCCGAUACUGCCCGGACUAGAGUUCGGAAGAGGCGAGUGGAAUUCCCCGGUGUAGCGGUGAAAAUGCGCAGAUAUCGGGGGAGGAACACCCUAUGGCGAAGGCAGCUCGCUGGGACGUUACUGACGCUGAGAACGCGAAAAGCGUGGGGAGCAAACAGG